GCCUCUAUGGUCUAGUUGGUUAUGACGCCGAUCUCAUAUGUUCACUACAUACAAGUGAUUCGGAGGUCCUGAGUUCGAUCCUCAGUGGGGACA